AAUGAACGUUGGCGACGUGGAUUAGGCAUGCAAGUCGUGCGCGAACCGUAGCAAUACGGGGAGAGCGGCGAAAGGGAGAGGAUAACAUAGAUACCUGCCCUCGGACCUGGGAUAGCUAUGGGAAACUAUAGGUAAUACCAGAUAACGUCUCCGGACCAAAGGUGUGAUUCCGUCCGGGGAGGGGUCUAUGUCCUAUUAGCUUGUUGGUGAGGUAACGGCUCACCAAGGCCAAGAUGGGUACGAGGCGUGAGAGCGUGUCCUCGCUCACUGGGACUGAGACUCUGCCCAGACACCUACGGGUGGCUGCAGUCGAGAAUCCUCGGCAAUGGGGGAAACCCUGACCGAGCGACGCCGCGUGCGGGAUGAAGGCCUUCGGGUUGUAAACCGCUGUCAGUGCGGAGGAAAUGCGUGGGGGUUCUCCCCCAUGUUUGACCUAUGCGCAGAGGAAGGACGGGCUAAGUUUGUGCCAGCCGCCGCAGUAAUAC
rnacentral:rRNA from 1 species